rnacentral:rRNA from 1 species
CCGGCACGGUGAGUAACGCGUAUGCAACUUGCCUAUCAGGAGGGGAUAACCGACGAAAGUCGGACUAAUACCGCAUGAAGCAGGGGCCCCGCAUGGGGAUAUUUGCUAAAGAUUCAUCGCUGAUAGAUAGGCAUGCGUUCCAUUAGGCAGUUGGCGGGGUAACGGCCCACCAAACCGACGAUGGAUAGGGGUUCUGAGAGGAAGGUCCCCCACAUUGGAACUGAGACACGGUCCAA